GACGAACGCUGGCGGCGUGCCUAAUACAUGCAAGUCGAACGAACUCUGGUAUUGAUUGGUGCUUGCAUCAUGAUUUACAUUUGAGUGAGUGGCGAACUGGUGAGUAACACGUGGGAAACCUGCCCAGAAGCGGGGGAUAACACCUGGAAACAGAUGCUAAUACCGCAUAACAACUUGGACCGCAUGGUCCGAGUUUGAAAGAUGGCUUCGGCUAUCACUUUUGGAUGGUCCCGCGGCGUAUUAGCUAGAUGGUGGGGUAACGGCUCACCAUGGCAAUGAUACGUAGCCGACCUGAGAGGGUAAUCGGCCACAUUGGGACUGAGACACGGCCCAAACUCCUACGGGAGGCAGCAGUAGGGAAUCUUCCACAAUGGACGAAAGUCUGAUGGAGCAACGCCGCGUGAGUGAAGAAGGGUUUCGGCUCGUAAAACUCUGUUGUUAAAGAAGAACAUAUCUGAGAGUAACUGUUCAGGUAUUGACGGUAUUUAACCAGAAAGCCACGGCUAACUACGUGCCAGCAGCCGCGGUAAUACGUAGGUGGCAAGCGUUGUCCGGAUUUAUUGGGCGUAAAGCGAGCGCAGGCGGUUUUUUAAGUCUGAUGUGAAAGCCUUCGGCUCAACCGAAGAAGUGCAUCGGAAACUGGGAAACUUGAGUGCAGAAGAGGACAGUGGAACUCCAUGUGUAGCGGUGAAAUGCGUAGAUAUAUGGAAGAACACCAGUGGCGAAGGCGGCUGUCUGGUCUGUAACUGACGCUGAGGCUCGAAAGUAUGGGUAGCAAACAGGAUUAGAUACCCUAGUAGUCCAUACCGUAAACGAUGAAUGCUAAGUGUUGGAGGGUUUCCGCCCUUCAGUGCUGCAGCUAACGCAUUAAGCAUUCCGCCUGGGGAGUACGGCCGCAAGGCUGAAACUCAAAGGAAUUGACGGGGGCCCGCACAAGCGGUGGAGCAUGUGGUUUAAUUCGAAGCUACGCGAAGAACCUUACCAGGUCUUGACAUACUAUGCAAAUCUAAGAGAUUAGACGUUCCCUUCGGGGACAUGGAUACAGGUGGUGCAUGGUUGUCGUCAGCUCGUGUCGUGAGAUGUUGGGUUAAGUCCCGCAACGAGCGCAACCCUUAUUAUCAGUUGCCAGCAUUAAGUUGGGCACUCUGGUGAGACUGCCGGUGACAAACCGGAGGAAGGUGGGGAUGACGUCAAAUCAUCAUGCCCCUUAUGACCUGGGCUACACACGUGCUACAAUGGAUGGUACAACGAGUUGCGAACUCGCGAGAGUAAGCUAAUCUCUUAAAGCCAUUCUCAGUUCGGAUUGUAGGCUGCAACUCGCCUACAUGAAGUCGGAAUCGCUAGUAAUCGCGGAUCAGCAUGCCGCGGUGAAUACGUUCCCGGGCCUUGUACACACCGCCCGUCACACCAUGAGAGUUUGUAACACCCAAAGUCGGUGGGGUAACCUUUUAGGAACCAGCCGCCUAAGGUGGGACAGAUGAUUAGGGUG
rnacentral:rRNA from 2 species